UGUACUCUGUGUUACGGGAUGAAUUGAGCGUUGCUGAUAACGCAGCGUUUUUGACGUUACCGUAGUAGAAAGCCCCAGCUAACUACGUGCCAGCAGCUGCGGUAAUACGUAGGGGGCAAGCGUUGUCCGGAAUCACUGGGCGUAAAGCGCGCGCAGGCGGUGGAAUAAGUCAGACGUGAAAGGGUUCGGCUCAACCGAGCCAUUGCGUUUGAUACUGUUUCACUUGAGUCUAGAAGAGGAAAGUGGAAUGUAUGGUGUAGCGGUGGAAUGCUUAGAUAUCAUAUAGAACACCCGUGGCGAAGGCGGCUUUCUGGUCUAAGACUGACGCUCAUGCGCGAAAGUUUGGGGAGCAACCGGGAUUAGAUACCCCGCUAGUCCUUACUGUAAACGAUGGGUACUAAGUGUAGGGGGUGUUGAUUCCCUCUGUGCUGUAGCUAACGCAUUAAGUACCCCGCCUGGGGAGUACGGCCGCAAGGUUAAAACUCAAGGUAAUUGACGGGGGGCCGCACAAGCGGUGGAGCAUGUCGCUUAUUCGACGCACGCGAAGACCUUAUCCAGGCUUGACAUCGCAGUGACCGCUAUAGAUAUAGUUUCCUUCGGGACACUAU
rnacentral:rRNA from 1 species